rnacentral:lncRNA from 1 species
AUUAGAAUGGAUUUUGAGAAUUUCAAUAAAAGGUUGAAUUCGAUAAAUGAUGAAAGAGAAGUAAAGACACGGUGGAGCAUGAGUAAUUUACGUGAUAUUAAAGACUGUAAACUUGAAGGAGAUGAGGUUUCCUAAUUUUUAGAAUUUUUGAAGAAGGGUAGGGGACGGAAAAAGGAUUUGAGACGAGGUUCAGGCGAGGAAAUUAGGGAUUGCAGGAGAACUUAACGGUGAGGGCCAACGACAAACGAUGGGACAAACAUCGCACACUCAGUAAUUAAGGGUCUGUGAAUAGCAGAAGCGAAGAAGGAAACUGAAGUGGCAUGUGAAGAAGACAUGAAGUGGCAGAGAAGAAGAUGCAAAACGAAAGAGGCGUGAGAAGAUACAAAAUGAAAGGAUGCUUGGUUUGGCGAAAAGGAUAAUUAGGAGAUUUCAACACUUACAAACAGAUUUUUCUGAAACGACUAGAAAUUUAUUUGAAAAAUAAAAUAAAAUAUAACUUAAUUGCAGUUUUGGUUUCCAAACUGUCGAAAAAUUAUUUUAAAAAAG